UCAACCUACCCUAUGGACGAGAAUAAUCUCGGGAAACUGAGCAUAAUUCUCGAUAGAUCAUAAUACCUGGAAUGGUUUAUGGUUAAAAUGAUUCGUCGCCAUAGGAUGGGACUGCGGCCAAUCAGCUUGUUGGUGAGGUAAUGGCCCACCAAGGCGAUUACAGGUACGGGCUCUGAGAGGAGAAGCCCGGAGAUGGGUACUGAGACACGGACCCAGGCCCUAUGGGGCGCAGCAGGCGAGAAAACUUUGCAAUGUGCGAAAGCACGACAAGGUUAAUCCGAGUGAUUUCUGCUAAGGAGAUCUUUUGCCAGUCACAAAACCACUGGUGAAUAAGGGGUGGGCAAGUUCUGGUGUCAGCCGCCGCGGUAAAACCAGCACCUCAAGUGGUCAGGAUGAUUAUUGGGCCUAAAGCAUCCGUAGCCGGCUUUGUUAGUUUUCGGUUAAAUCCAUGUGCUCAACGCAUGGGCUGCCGAAGAUACUGCAUAGCUAGGGAGUGGGAGAGGUAGACGGUACUCAAUAGGAAGGGGUAAAAUCCUUUGAUCUAUUGAUGACCACCUGUGGCGAAGGCGGUCUACCAGAACACGUUCGACGGUGAGGGAUGAAAGCUGGGGGAGCAAACCGGAUUAGAUACCCGGGUAGUCCCAGCCGUAAACGAUGCAGACUCGAUGAUGCAUUGGCAUAUAGCCAGUGCAGUGUCGCAGGGAAGCCGUUAAGUCUGCCGCCUGGGAAGUACGUACGCAAGUAUGAAACUUAAAGGAAUUGGCGGGGGAGCACCACAAGGGGUGAAGCCUGCGGUUCAAUUGGAGUCAACGCCAGAAAUCUUACCCGGAGAGACAGCAGAAUGAAGGUCGAGCUGAAGACUUUACCAGACAAGCUGAGAGGUGGUGCAUGGCCGUCGCCAGCUCGUGCCGUGAGAUGUCCUGUUAAGUCAGGUAACGAGCGAGAUCCCUGCCACUAGUUGCUAUCAUUAUUCUCAGGAAUAGUGGGGCGAAUUAGUGGGACUGCCGUUGUUAAAACGGAGGAAGGAAGGGGCUACGGCAGGUCAGUAUGCCCCGAAACUCUGGGGCCACGCGCGGGCUGCAAUGGUAGUGACAAUGAGUUCCAAACUCGAAAGAGAGUGGUAAUCUCUAAACGCUACCACAGUUAUGACUGAGGGCUGUAACUCGCCCUCACGAAUAUGGAAUCCC
rnacentral:rRNA from 1 species